AGUUGGUGGAGUGAUUUGUCUGCUUAAUUGCGCUAACGAACGAGACCUUUACCUGCUAAAUAGUUGAUGGUUGCUCCGGCGAUCCUCCGCUUCUUAGAGGGACUUUGCGUGUUUAACGCAAGGAAGUUAGAGGCAAUAACAGG
rnacentral:rRNA from 1 species